rnacentral:rRNA from 1 species
GACGAACGCUGGCGGCGUGCUUAACACAUGCAAGUCGAACGGAAAGGCCCUGCUUGCAGGGUACUCGAGUGGCGAACGGGUGAGUAACACGUGGGUGAUCUGCCCUGCACUUCGGGAUAAGCCUGGGCAACUGGGUCUAAUACCGGAUAGGAGCCAUUUUUAGUGUGAUGGUUGGAAAGUUUUUUCGGUGUAGGAUGAGCUCGCGGCCUAUCAGCUUGUUGGUGGGGUAAUGGCCUACCAAGGCGGCGACGGGUAGCCGGCCUGAGAGGGUGGACGGCCACAUUGGGACUGAGGUACGGCCCAGACGCCUACGGGAGGCAGCAGUGGGGAAUAUUGAACAAUGGGCGCAGGCCGGAUGCAGAGAGGCCGCGUGGGGGAUGACGGCCUUCGGGUUGUAAACUCCUUGCGCUAGGGACGAAGCUUUUUGUGACGGUACCUAGAGAAGAAGCACCGGCUAACUACGUG